rnacentral:tRNA from 1 species
CAGGGAGACAACACAAUGAUUUUGAUGCCUGAGUGCUUUUAUUCUUAGGCCGAAAUCCUGUCACCUUAGGUCGAUCGGUACCUCAGCUUUGAAGUCAAGGAUCAGCAGCAAUGUUGAUUGCUUGAUGGAGAUUUUCAGUUCCUAAACUUUGUCUAGGUCACACCCCAAAAGGGAUGAGACUCCUGGGCCAUUAGCUCAGGUGGUUAGAGCGCACCCCUGAUAAGGGUGAGGUCCCUGGUUCAAGUCCAGGAUGGCCCAUUCGGUGUUGGGGGUUUAGCUCAGUUGGUAGAGCGCCUGCUUUGCAAGCAGGAUGUCAGGAGUUCGAGUCUCCUAACCUCCACAGACCGAACUUGAUUCCCAUCUCCAAUUUUUUUGGAGUUGAGCUCGAUUGGAGUGUGAUUUAGAUGUGUCCGCUGGAUGACCCCAGCUUCCUGUCAUUCCAAGUUUUAGGUUGAUGCCUUGAAUUUGGUUGAUAAGAUGCUGGGCUCGGAUCAAAUGAUCAAGCAAUUGAUGAUUUGAUUUGAAGUUCUAGCAGAACCUUGACAACUGCAUAGGUGAGUCUGGAAAAAACAAAGCAUCUUACAGAUGCAUUGUUUUGAAUCUGAUCUUCUGAAAGGGAGAUUGGAUCUAGAACAAUGAAAAUUCUUUUGAGCAAGAGCCGAGACUCUUGAGCGUUCUUUGAUUGGUGUCGAGCCAAUCAGAGUUUGAUCUUGUUUUUAGCAAUAAAAACUUGAGAAUCUGCUUUCAACGGCGGUAAGCGUUCAGGAGGUUAAUU